rnacentral:rRNA from 1 species
AUUGAACGCUGGCGGCAGGCCUAACACAUGCAAGUCGAGCGAGCGGCGGACGGGUGAGUAAUGUAUGGGGAUCUGCCUGAUGGAGGGGGAUAACUACUGGAAACGGUAGCUAAUACCGCAUACCAACAGCUGAGCCAAGAUGGGAUUAGCUAGUAGGUGGGGUAACGGCUCACCUAGGCGAAGAUCCCUAGCUGGUCUGAGAGGAUGAUCAGCCACACUGGGACUGAGACACGGCCCAGACUCCUACGGGAGGCAGCAGUGGGGAAUAUUGCACAAUGGGCGAAAGCCUGAUGCAGCCAUGCCGCGUGUAUGAAGAAGGCCUUCGGGUUGUAAAGUACUUUCAGUCGGGAGGCGUUACCGACAGAAGAAGCACCGGCUAACUCCGUGCCAGCCGCCGCGGUAAUUC